UUGUCAGCAGCCGCGGUAAUACAGAGGGUGCGAGCGUUGUCCGGAAUCACUGGGCGUAAAGGGCGCGUAGGUGGCUAGGUAAGCGUGCGGUGAAAGCCCGGGGCUCAACCCCGGGUCGGCCGUGCGGACUGCCUGGCUUGAGCACGGUAGAGGCCGAUGGAAUUCCGGGUGUAGCGGUGGAAUGCGUAGAGAUCCGGAAGAACACCGGUGGCGAAGGCGGUCGGCUGGGCCGAUGCUGACACUGAGGCGCGACAGCGUGGGGAGCAAACAGGAUUAGAAACCCGAGUAGUCC
rnacentral:rRNA from 1 species